GAUGAACGCUGGCGGCGUGCCUAAUACAUGCAAGUCGAGCGAACAGACGAGGAGCUUGCUCCUCUGACGUUAGCGGCGGACGGGUGAGUACCACGUGGAUAACCUACCUAUAAGACUGGGAUAACUUCGGGAAACCGGAGCUACUACCGGAUAAUAUAUUGAACCGCAUGGUUCAAUAGUGAAAGACGGUUUUGCUGUCACUUAUAGAUGGAUCCGCGCCGCAUUAGCUAGUUGGUCAGUUAACGGCUUACCAAGGCAACGAUGGGAAGCCGACCUGAGAGGGAGAUCGGCCACACUGGAACUGAGACACGGUCCAGACACCUACGGUAGGAAGCAGUAGGGAAUCUUCCGCAAUGGGCGAAAGCCUGACGGAGCAACGCCGCGUGAGUGAUGAAGGUCUUAGGAUCGUAAAACUCUGUUAUUAGGGAAGAACAAAUGUGUAAGUAACUAUGCACGUCUUGACGGUACCUAAUCAGAAAGCCACGGCUAACUACGUG
rnacentral:rRNA from 1 species